rnacentral:rRNA from 1 species
GCCAGACUCCUACGGGAGGCAGCAGUGGGGAAUAUUGCACAAUGGGGGAAACCCUGAUGCAGCGACGCCGCGUGAGUGAAGAAGUAUUUCGGUAUGUAAAGCUCUAUCAGCAGGGAAGAAAAUGACGGUACCUGACUAAGAAGCCCCGGCUAACUACGUGCCAGCAGCCGCGGUAAUACGUAGGGGGCAAGCGUUAUCCGGAUUUACUGGGUGUAAAGGGAGCGUAGACGGCAUGGCAAGUCUGAAGUGAAAGGCCGGGGCUCAACCGCGGGACUGCUUUGGAAACUGUUAGGCUGGAGUGCAGGAGAGGUAAGUGGAAUUCCUGGUGUAGCGGUGAAAUGCGUAGAUAUUAGGAGGAACACCAGUGGCGAAGGCGGCUUACUGGACUGUAACUGACGUUGAGGCUCGAAAGCGUGGGGAGCGAACAGGAUUAGAUACCCGCGUAGC